rnacentral:rRNA from 1 species
AUUGAACGCUGGCGGCAUGCCUUACACAUGCAAGUCGAACGGCAGCAUGGAAGAGCUUGCUCUUCUGAUGGCGAGUGGCGAACGGGUGAGUAAAGCAUCGGAACGUACCGUGUAGUGGGGGAUAACGUAGCGAAAGUUACGCUAAUACCGCAUACGCACUGAGGUGGAAAGCAGGGGAUCGCAAGACCUUGCGCUAUACGAGCGGCCGAUGUCAGAUUAGCUAGUUGGUAGGGUAAAGGCCUACCAAGGCGACGAUCUGUAGCUGGUCUGAGAGGACGACCAGCCACACUGGGACUGAGACACGGCCCAGACUCCUACGGGAGGCAGCAGUGGGGAAUUUUGGACAAUGGGCGAAAGCCUGAUCCAGCCAUGCCGCGUGCAGGAUGAAGGCCUGGUUGUAAACUGCUUUGUCUAGGAGAAAGUCUUCUUGGGCGUAAUACCCCGGGAAGGACGUGUACGGUACCUGAAGAAUAAGACACCGGCUAACU